rnacentral:rRNA from 1 species
AAUGAACGUUGGCGGCGUGGAUUAGGCAUGCAAGUCGUGCGAGAAGCGUAGCAAUACGUGGAAAGCGGCGAAAGGGAGAGUAACGCGUGGGUAACCUGCCCUGGGGACCGGAAUAGCUGCGGGAAACUGCAGGUAAUGCCGGAUGAUCUCCGCGGAGCAAAGGUGUGAUUCCGCCCUGGGAGGGGCCCGCGUCCUAUUAGCUAGUUGGUGGGGUAAUGGCCUACCAAGGCAACGAUGGGUAUGGGGUGUGAGAGCAUGACCCCACUCACUGGGACUGAGACACUGCCCAGACACCUACGGGUGGCUGCAGUCGAGAAUCUUCGGCAAUGGACGCAAGUCUGACCGAGCGACGCCGCGUGCGGGAUGAAGGCCUUCGGGUUGUAAACCGCUGUCAGUGGGGAGGAAGUCUGUGGGGGUUCUCCCCCAUAGUUGACCUAUCUUCAGAGGAAGGGUGGGCUAAGUUCGUGCCAGCAGCCGCCGUAACAC